rnacentral:misc_RNA from 1 species
UCCGGCUUAACACCGGCAGUCUCCUCAGAGUGCCCAACUUAAUGAUGGCAACUAAGAAUAAGGGUUGCGCUCGUUGCCGGACUUAACCGAACAUUUCACAACACGAGCUGACGACAGCCAUGCAGCACCUAUCCCACUGUCCCCGAAGGGAAAGCUCCAUCUCUGGAGUUGUCAGUGAAUGUUAAGGCCAGGUAAGGUUCUGCGCGUUGCUUCGAAUUAAACCACAUACUCCACCGCUUGUGCGGGCCCCCGUCAAUUCCUUUGAGUUUUAGCCUUGCGACCGUACUCCCCAGGCGGAUUACUUAAUGCGUGAGCUCCGGUACCCAAAGGGUUAACACUUCGGACACCUAGUAAUCAUCGUUUACGGCGUGGACUAC